rnacentral:rRNA from 1 species
UACGGAGGGUGCAAGCGUUAAUCGGAAUUACUGGCGUAAAGCGUGCGCAGGCGGUUUGUUAAGUCCGCUGAUGGAAAUCCCCGAGCCUCAACUUGGGAAUUGCAGUGGAUACUGGCAAGCUGGAGUAUGGUAGAGGAAGGUGGAAUUCCCGGUGUAGCAGUGAAAUGCGCAGAUAUCGGGAAGAACACCCGUGGCGAAGGCGGCUCUCGUGGGACGGUACUGGACGCUGAGACGCGAAAGCGUGGGGAGCCGAACGAGGAAUUGAUGAAACCCC